CCUUUGAUUAGUGUCAGGACAGAAACAACCACAUUUUUUUCCUAUUGGUUAGUGUCAGGUCUAAAAUUCAUGCUUUCAUAUCUCAGUUCAUACUGUAACUAACUCAUACAGUUAGCUAUUAUGUUAAGAGAGCCCCACCUCUCAAUGGCUCUAAGAUUGACAGCUAUGAUACGGUUUCACCUCCUUUACUCUUUCCAUGAGGGUCACAGGAAGGCUUAUGCAAGACCCGUUCAUGCCUCUUACCAAUCCAGGAAAUUCCUUUUUUUUUUUAAAGUCAAAUCUAACUGGCUUGGGAAUUGUUUCAGAGGCUCUCUAACGAAGGGCAAAAUACCCCAGUGGCAGGUCGGUCAGCAGGCCCUACAGCCCUGCAGGAAAAGAAACUCAUUUAACUGAACCACUGUGGUCUCAAAUCCAUAGCAGCUCUCCAGCUGUGAGAAAGGCCCAGCAGAUGAAAAGGAUGAGGGAGGAAAAUGUUGGAUCAGUCUUACAUUUUGAUUUUAAAAAUGCUUCAGAGUAAGAGACUCGCUCCC
rnacentral:lncRNA from 1 species